rnacentral:lncRNA from 1 species
CCCCAGUUCCUCGUUCCUCGACUCUCCUUUUCUCUCAGGCCUGAGGCACAGCCCAGGGGCCUCCCUGCAAGGGAACAGACGUUUCCUUUAUUGGAUCGUGACUGUGGACUUUUUUCUGUAAUUUUGCGAGAGGGUGGUGGUUAUGUUGCGACAUAUCAAAAAGCAGUUAUUUUACCGCCUUUAGCAGUUGGGGCUCACCCC